AUUGAACGCUGGCGGCAGGCCUAACACAUGCAAGUCGAACGAGUGGCGGACGGGUGAGUAAUGUCUGGGAAACUGCCCGAUGGAGGGGGAUAAAUACUGGACACGGUCGCUAAUACCGCAUCCCAUCGGAUGUGCCCAGAUGGGAUUAGCUAGUAGGUGGGGUAACGGCUCACCUAGGCGACGAUCCCUAGCUGGUCUGAGAGGAUGACCAGGCACAAUGGAACGGGGACACGGUCCAGACUCCUACGGGGGGCAGCAGUGGGGAAAAUUGCACAAUGGGCGCAAGCCUGAUGAAGCCAAGCCGGGUUGAUUAAGAAGGCCUUCGGGUUGUAAAGGACUUUCAGCGAGGAGGCGUUACUCGCAGAAGAAGCACCGGCUAAAUCCGUGCCAGCAACCGCGGGAAUAC
rnacentral:rRNA from 1 species